GCCGCUUUUAAAUUUGAACUUGUCCGCACCUGUUCUCCAAAACCGCUUGUCAGAUUAACUUAGGGUUUCACAAUAUGUUAGACUAACAUGUCUAGUGGUGCAAUCAGGGUUUUGUUUGUGCAAUGGGGUUUAUAAAGGGGUACUUUGAGGGGCAAAAAGAAAAGAGGGUUUUACUAUAGAACCCUAUGGGAUUUUAUUUUUUAAAAUUUUCAAAUGAUUAUAAAUUGAAAACCGUUUGUGAUAGACACAAUCUUUUUAAUUGAAAAUGUUCUAAAUGAUAAAGCCCAUUAAAUGAAAUACAGGGUUAGUCCCCAGGGGUCACCCCCAUCCCCUGCCAUUUAAGAAAGUUCUAAUAUCUAAGUGGUCAAGAUCCCCACCCCUAAACCAUAUAUAUUCUGGUUUGUCAUGCUAAGAUGGUUUGAAUGAUAUACAGAGUUAGUCCCCAGGGGUCAUCCCUACCCCCUGCCAUUUGAGAAAGUUCUAAUAUCUUGUAAAUGGUCGAGAUCCCCACCCCUAAACCAUAUAUAUUCUGGUUUGUCAUGAUAAAGCACAUCAAAUGUUAUACAGGGUUAGUCCCCAGGGGUCACCCCCACCCCCUGCCAUUUAAGAAAGUUCUAAUAUCUUCUUAGUGGUCAAGAUCCCCACCCCUAAACCAUAUAUAUUCUGGUUUGUCAUGAUAAAGCACAUCAAAUGUAAUACAGGGUUAGUCCCCAGGGGUCAUCCCGACCCCCUGCCAUUUGAGAAAGUUCUAAUAUCUUGUAAAUGGUCGAGAUCCCCACCCCUAAACCAUAUAUAUUCUGGUUUGUCAUGAUAAAGCACAUCAAAUGAAAUACAGGGUAGUCCCCAGGGGUCACCCCCUCCCCCUGCCAUUUAAGAAAGUUCUAAUAUCUUGUAAGUGGUCAAGAUCCCCACCCCUAAACCAUAUAUAUUCUGGUUUGUCAUGCUAAGAUGGUUUGAAUGAUAUACAGGGUUAGUCCCCAGGGGUCAUCCCGACCCCCUGCCAUUUAAGAAAGUUCUAAUACCUUGUAAGUGGUCAAGAUCCCCACCCCUAAACCAUAUAUAUUUUGGUUUGUUAUCCUAAGAUGGUUUGAAUGAUAUACAGGGUUAGUCCCCAGGGGUCAUCCCGACCCCCUGCCAUUUGAGAAAGUUCAAAUAUCUUGUAAAUGGUCGAGAUCCCCACCCCUAAACCAUAUUUAUUCUGGUUGGUCAUGAUAAAGCACAUCAAAUGAAAUACAGGGUUAGUCCCUAGGGGUCAUCCCCACCCCCUGCCAUUUAAGAAAGUUCUAAUAUCUUGUAAAUGGUCGAGAUCCCCACCCCUAAACCAUAUAUAUUCCUAUUUGUCAUGUCUCGAACAUUUGAAUGACGUAUACGGUCAGUCCCUAGGGGUUCCUCCCCACCCCCAAUGUUCUAGUAUCUUGUAAAUGGUCGAGAUCCCCACCCCUAAACCAUAUAUAUUCUGGUUUGUCAUGCCAAGAUGAUUUGAAUGAUAUACAAGGUUAGUCCCCAGGCAUCACUAAUGCAUAUAACUUUACUGGACCAAACCAAUUUUCACUGGACCUUGCCCAAUGUCAGGCGACCCUGUGAAUUACGAAUUAUGGGAGCUUCGUUUGGGAGACUUCGUAACAGCAUCCUGUAACAAUCAUUUCUUGUUAUUAUUAUUAUUCUUCUUCUUCUUCUUCUUCUUCUUCUUCUUCUUCUUCUUCUUCUUCUUCUUCGGCCGCUUUUAAAUUUGAACUUGUCCGCACCUGUUCUCCAAAACCGCUUGUCAGAUUAACUUAGGGUUUCACAAUAUGUUAGACUAACAUGUCUAGUGGUGCAAUCAGGGUUUUGUUUGUGCAAUGGGGUUUAUAAAGGGGUACUUUGAGGGGCAAAAAGAAAAGAGGGUUUUACUAUAGAACCCUAUGGGAUUUUAUUUUUUAAAAUUUUCAAAUGAUUAUAAAUUGAAAACCGUUUGUGAUAGACACAAUCUUUUUAAUUGAAAAUGUUCUAAAUGAUAAAGCCCAUUAAAUGAAAUACAGGGUUAGUCCCCAGGGGUCACCCCCAUCCCCUGCCAUUUAAGAAAGUUCUAAUAUCUAAGUGGUCAAGAUCCCCACCCCUAAACCAUAUAUAUUCUGGUUUGUCAUGCUAAGAUGGUUUGAAUGAUAUACAGAGUUAGUCCCCAGGGGUCAUCCCUACCCCCUGCCAUUUGAGAAAGUUCUAAUAUCUUGUAAAUGGUCGAGAUCCCCACCCCUAAACCAUAUAUAUUCUGGUUUGUCAUGAUAAAGCACAUCAAAUGUUAUACAGGGUUAGUCCCCAGGGGUCACCCCCACCCCCUGCCAUUUAAGAAAGUUCUAAUAUCUUCUUAGUGGUCAAGAUCCCCACCCCUAAACCAUAUAUAUUCUGGUUUGUCAUGAUAAAGCACAUCAAAUGUAAUACAGGGUUAGUCCCCAGGGGUCAUCCCGACCCCCUGCCAUCUGAGAAAGUUCUAAUAUCUUGUAAAUGGUCGAGAUCCCCACCCCUAAACCAUAUAUAUUCUGGUUUGUCAUGAUAAAGCACAUCAAAUGUUAUACAGGGUUAAUCCCCAGGGGUCACCCCCACCCCCUGCCAUUUAAGAAAGUUCUAAUAUCUUGUAAGUGGUCAAGAUCCCCACCCCUAAACCAUAUAUAUUCUGGUUUGUCAUGCUAAGAUGGUUUGAAUGAUAUACAGGGUUAGUCCCCAGGGGUCAUCCCGACCCCCUGCCAUUUGAGAAAGUUCUAAUAUCUUGUAAAUGGUCGAGAUCCCCACCCCUAAACCAUAUAUAUUCUGGUUUGUCAUGAUAAAGCACAUCAAAUGUAAUACAGGGUUAGUCCCCAGGGGUCACCCCCACCCCCUGCCAUUUAAGAAAGUUCUAAUAUCUUGUAAGUGGUCAAGAUCCCCACCCCUAAACCAUAUAUAUUCUGGUUUGUCAUGCUAGGAUGGUUUGAAUGAUAUACAGGGUUAGUCCCCAGGGGUCAUCCCGACCCCCUGCCAUCUGAGAAAGUUCUAAUAUCUUGUAAAUGGUCGACAUCCCCACCCCUAAACCAUAUAUAUUCUGGUUUGUCAUGAUAAAGCACAUCAAAUGUUACACAGGGUUAGUCCCCAGGGGUCACCCCACCCCCUGCCAUUUAAGAAAGUUCUAAUAUCUUGUAAGUGGUCAAGAUCCCCACCCCUAAACCAUAUAUAUUCUGGUUUGUCAUGCGAAGAUGGUUUGAAUGAUAUACAGGGUUAGUCCCCAGGGGUCAUCCAGACCCCUUGCCAUUUGAGAAAGUUCUAAUAUCUUGUAAAUGGUCGAGAUCCCCACCCCUAAACCAUAUAUAGUCUGGUUCGUCAUAAUAAAGCACAUCAAAUGUUAUACAGGGUUAGUCCCCAGGGGUCACCCCCACUCCCUGCCAUUUACGAAAGUUCAAAUAUCUUCUAAGUGGUCAAGAUCCCCACCCCUAAAUCAUAUAUAUUCUGGUUUGUCAUGCUAAGAUGGUUUGAAUGAUAUACAGGGUUAGUCCCCAGGGGUCAUCCCGACCCCCUGCCAUUUGAGAAAGUUCUAAUAUCUUGUAAAUAGUUGAGAUCCCCACCCCUAAACCAUAUAUAUUCCUGUUCGUCAUGUAAUGAACAUUUGAAUGACGUAUAGGGCCAGUCCCCAGGGGUUCCUCCCCACCCCCAAUGUUCUUGUAUCUUGUAAAUGGUAGAGAUCCCCACCCCUAAACCAUAUAUAUUCUGGUUUGUCAUGCCAAGAUGAUUUGAAUGAUAAACAAGGUUAGUCCCCAGGCAUCACUAAUGCAUAUAACUUUACUGGACCAAACCAAUUUUCACUGGACGUUGCCCAAUGUCAGGCGACCCUGGGAAUUACGAAUUAUGGGAGCUUCGUUUGGGAGACUUCGUAACAGCAUCCUGUUACAAUCAUUUCUUGUUAUUAUUCUUCUUCUUCUUCUUCUUCUUCUUCUUCUUCUUCUUCCGCCGCUUUUAAAUUUGAACUUGUCCGCACCCGUUCUCAAAAACCGCUUGUCAGAUUAACUUAGGGUUUCACAAUAUGUUAGACUAACAUGUCUAGUGGUGCAAUCAGGGUUUUGUUUGUGCAUUGGGGUUUAUAAAGGGGUACUUUGAGGGGCAAAAAGAAAAGAGGGUUUUACUAUAGAACCCUAUGGGAUUUUAUUUUUAAAAAUUUUCAAAUGAUUAUAAAUUGAAAACCGUUUGUGAUAGACACAAUCUUUUUAAUUGAAAAUGUUCUAAAUGAUAAAGCCCAUUAAAUGAAAUACAGGGUUAGUCCCCAGGGGCCACCCCCACCCCCUGCCAUUUAAGAAAGUUCUAAUACCUUGUAAGUGGUCAAGAUCCCCACCCCUAAACCAUAUAUAUUUUGGUUUGUUAUCCUAAGAUGGUUUGAAUGAUAUACAGGGUUAGUCCCCAGGGGUCAUCCCGACCCCCUGCCAUUUGAGAAAGUUCAAAUAUCUUGUAAAUGGUCGAGAUCCCCACCCCUAAACCAUAUAUAUUCUGGUUUGUCAUGAUAAAGCACAUCAAAUGAAAUACAGGGUUAGUCCCCAGGGGUCAUCCCCACCCCCUGCCAUUUAAGAAAGUUCUAAUAUCUUCUAAGUGGUCAAGAUCCCCACCCCUAAACCAUAUAUAUUCGGGUUUGUCAUGCUAAGAUGGUUUGAAUGAUAUACAGGGUUAGUCCCCAGGGGUCAUCCCGACCCCCUGCCAUUUGAGAAAGUUCUAAUAUCUUGUAAAUGGUCGAGAUCCCUACCCCUAAACCAUAUAUUCUGGUUUGUCAUGAUAAAGCACAUCAAAUGAAAUACAGGGGUAGUCCCCAGGGGUCACCCCCACCCCCUGCCAUUUAAGAAAGUUCUAAUAUCUUGUAAGUGGUCAAGAUCCCCACCCCUAAACCAUAUAUAUUCUGGUUUGUCAUGCUAAGAUGGUUUGAAUGAUAUACAGGGUUAGUCCCCAGGGGUCAUCCCGACCCCCUGCCAUUUAAGAAAGUUCUAAUACCUUGUAAGUGGUCAAGAUCCCCACCCCUAAACCAUAUAUAUUUUGGUUUGUUAUCCUAAGAUGGUUUGAAUGAUAUACAGGGUUAGUCCCCAGGGGUCAUCCCGACCCCCUGCCAUUUGAGAAAGUUCAAAUAUCUUGUAAAUGGUCGAGAUCCCCACCCCUAAACCAUAUAUAUUCUGGUUUGUCAUGAUAAAGCACAUCAAAUGAAAUACAGGGUUAGUCCCCAGGGGUCAUGCCCACCCCCUGCCAUUUAAGAAAGUUCUAAUAUCUUCUAAGUGGUCAAGAUCCCCACCCCUAAACCAUAUAUAUUCUGGUUUGUCAUGCUAAGAUGGUUUGAAUGAUAUACAGGGUUAGUCCCCAGGGGUCAUCCCGACCCCCUGCCAUUUGAGAAAGUUCUAAUAUCUUGUAAAUGGUCGAGAUCCCCACCCCUAAACCAUAUAUAUUCUGGUUUGUCAUGAUAAAGCACAUCAAAUGAAAUACAGGGUCAUCCCCAGGGGUCACCCCACCCCCUGCCAUUUAAGAAAGUUCUAAUAUCUUGUAAGUGGUCAAGAUCCCCACCCCUAAACCAUAUAUAUUCUGGUUUGUCAUGCGAAGAUGGUUUGAAUGAUAUACAGGGUUAGUCCCCAGGGGUCAUCCAGACCCCUUGCCAUUUGAGAAAGUUCUAAUAUCUUGUAAAUGGUCGAGAUCCCCACCCCUAAACCAUAUAUAGUCUGGUUCGUCAUAAUAAAGCACAUCAAAUGUUAUACAGGGUUAGUCCCCAGGGGUCACCCCCACUCCCUGCCAUUUACGAAAGUUCAAAUAUCUUCUAAGUGGUCAAGAUCCCCACCCCUAAAUCAUAUAUAUUCUGGUUUGUCAUGCUAAGAUGGUUUGAAUGAUAUACAGGGUUAGUCCCCAGGGGUCAUCCCGACCCCCUGCCAUUUGAGAAAGUUCUAAUAUCUUGUAAAUAGUUGAGAUCCCCACCCCUAAACCAUAUAUAUUCCUGUUCGUCAUGUAAUGAACAUUUGAAUGACGUAUAGGGCCAGUCCCCAGGGGUUCCUCCCCACCCCCAAUGUUCUUGUAUCUUGUAAAUGGUAGAGAUCCCCACCCCUAAACCAUAUAUAUUCUGGUUUGUCAUGCCAAGAUGAUUUGAAUGAUAAACAAGGUUAGUCCCCAGGCAUCACUAAUGCAUAUAACUUUACUGGACCAAACCAAUUUUCACUGGACGUUGCCCAAUGUCAGGCGACCCUGGGAAUUACGAAUUAUGGGAGCUUCGUUUGGGAGACUUCGUAACAGCAUCCUGUUACAAUCAUUUCUUGUUAUUAUUCUUCUUCUUCUUCUUCUUCUUCUUCUUCUUCUUCUUCUUCUUCUUCCGCCGCUUUUAAAUUUGAACUUGUCCGCACCUGUUCUCCAAAACCGCUUGUCAGAUUAACUUAGGGUUUCACAAUAUGUUAGACUAACAUGUCUAGUGGUGCAAUCAGGGUUUUGUUUGUGCAAUGGGGUUUAUAAAGGGGUACUUUGAGGGGCAAAAAGAAAAGAGGGUUUAACUAUAGAACCCUACGGGAUUUUAUUUUUUUAAAUUUUCAAAUGAUUAUAAAUUGAAAACCGUUUGUGAUAGACACAAUCUUUUUAAUUGAAAAUGUUCUAAAUGAUAAAGCCCAUUAAAUGAAAUACAGGGUUAGUCCCCAGGGGUCACCCCCACCCCCUGCCAUUUAAGAAAGUUCUAAUAUCUUCUAAGUGGUCAAGAUCCCCACCCCUAAACCAUAUAUAUUCUGGUUUGUCAUGCUAAGAUGGUUUGAAUGAUAUACAGGGUUAGUCCCCAGGGGUCACCCCCAUCCCCUGCCAUUUAAGAAAGUUCUAAUAUCUAAGUGGUCAAGAUCCCCACCCCUAAACCAUAUAUAUUCUGGUUUGUCAUGCUAAGAUGGUUUGAAUGAUAUACAGAGUUAGUCCCCAGGGGUCAUCCCUACCCCCUGCCAUUUGAGAAAGUUCUAAUAUCUUGUAAAUGGUCGAGAUCCCCACCCCUAAACCAUAUAUAUUCUGGUUUGUCAUGAUAAAGCACAUCAAAUGUUAUACAGGGUUAGUCCCCAGGGGUCACCCCCACCCCCUGCCAUUUAAGAAAGUUCUAAUAUCUUCUUAGUGGUCAAGAUCCCCACCCCUAAACCAUAUAUAUUCUGGUUUGUCAUGAUAAAGCACAUCAAAUGUAAUACAGGGUUAGUCCCCAGGGGUCAUCCCGACCCCCUGCCAUUUGAGAAAGUUCUAAUAUCUUGUAAAUGGUCGAGAUCCCCACCCCUAAACCAUAUAUAUUCUGGUUUGUCAUGAUAAAGCACAUCAAAUGAAAUACAGGGUAGUCCCCAGGGGUCACCCCCUCCCCCUGCCAUUUAAGAAAGUUCUAAUAUCUUGUAAGUGGUCAAGAUCCCCACCCCUAAACCAUAUAUAUUCUGGUUUGUCAUGCUAAGAUGGUUUGAAUGAUAUACAGGGUUAGUCCCCAGGGGUCAUCCCGACCCCCUGCCAUUUAAGAAAGUUCUAAUACCUUGUAAGUGGUCAAGAUCCCCACCCCUAAACCAUAUAUAUUUUGGUUUGUUAUCCUAAGAUGGUUUGAAUGAUAUACAGGGUUAGUCCCCAGGGGUCAUCCCGACCCCCUGCCAUUUGAGAAAGUUCAAAUAUCUUGUAAAUGGUCGAGAUCCCCACCCCUAAACCAUAUUUAUUCUGGUUGGUCAUGAUAAAGCACAUCAAAUGAAAUACAGGGUUAGUCCCUAGGGGUCAUCCCCACCCCCUGCCAUUUAAGAAAGUUCUAAUAUCUUGUAAAUGGUCGAGAUCCCCACCCCUAAACCAUAUAUAUUCCUAUUUGUCAUGUCUCGAACAUUUGAAUGACGUAUACGGUCAGUCCCUAGGGGUUCCUCCCCACCCCCAAUGUUCUAGUAUCUUGUAAAUGGUCGAGAUCCCCACCCCUAAACCAUAUAUAUUCUGGUUUGUCAUGCCAAGAUGAUUUGAAUGAUAUACAAGGUUAGUCCCCAGGCAUCACUAAUGCAUAUAACUUUACUGGACCAAACCAAUUUUCACUGGACGUUGCCCAAUGUCAGGCGACCCUGGGAAUUACGAAUUAUGGGAGCUUCGUUUGGGAGACUUCGUAACAGCAUCCUGUUACAAUCAUUUCUUGUUAUUAUUCUUCUUCUUCUUCUUCUUCUUCUUC